CAGUCAGACCAGACGAACAGUCUUUCUUAACUGUUACAGAUUGAUUGGUAGCGAUUUAUAAUAUUGCAGCCCUUAUAUUUUGGUACAGGGGAAGCACAAUACACGGGGUUAUUUCUAACUUAAAAGCCGUUAAGAAGGCGCCCUAGAAAAGCUGGUAAUACUACUACAGCCAGAUACUGACUUCGGCCCUAAAUUGUGCCCAAGUGUCGAGGCAUGGUCAGAUGUAAAGGUAAAGCAUAACAACAAAGGAAAUUAAUCUUGACCUGCAUUUCCUUGAACUGAACAAUAUUUUCCAGAUACUUACUAGGAAUCAGUAUAAUUGUGCUUUAGAAUUGUAUGUGUACUGAGUGAAAGAAGCAAUACAGCUGCCUGGAGCUGCAGAAGCCCACGACUAUCAUCGUUGCACUACGCAGAAGUCUUGUCGGUUUGCUUUGCAGAUGACAAUACGCACGCCUUAGGACCCGGUAGAAACCCCCUUCCGCAAGAGUAGCGCAUCUAUGGAUCUAUGUGGAUGCAAUGCUGUUUUCUCUGCGUCUUAACGCCAAUACAGAUAACUUGCUCUGAAUUAUUUUCUAAGGACGGAUUUUGAGUUCCACGAUUGCGGGAUUUGAGAAAAACCUUGCAUUUUAUUGCAUCCUGAGGUAUCAAAGGCGCCGAAGGUUGGUCGCUUGUGGUUACAGGGAAAGGUCAUAAAAUAGGCUUAAGUUGCAAGACCUCACGCCUUGGAAGUGAUGGUUGCCUAAAAAACAAAUUGGAGCACCGGAUUGAACCGCAAAUCAUGAUCAGUAGUAAAGAAGAUUUCCCUUCCUGUGUCUUUGAAGUUGCUGUUGUAUGAAACAAAAGCAAGAAAGGCUGUUCAGAGUGUUAUCCAGAGGUAUCGUCUUCAACCAGAUGCCAUUUGUGUACGUCUAAUUGAUUGUAAUGCAAGAAAUUUUACACCAUGAAAUGGAUAAAUAUUACCUUCAUUUUGGCAGCUGCUUUCAGGCUCAUCUGUACACAGCAGUUAAUGGGGCAUCUUGU